GCGGUGGAGCAUGUGUUUAAUUCGAUGCAACGCGAAGAACCUUACCUGGGCUUGACAGUCCCGGAAUCCCCUUGGAAACAAGGGAGUGCCUUCGGGGAACCUGGAGACAGGUGCUGCAUGGCUGUCGUCAGCUCGUGUCGUGAGAUGUAGGGUUAAGUCCCGCAACGAGCGCAACCCUUGUCUUUAAUUGCCAUCAUUGAGUUGGGCACUUUAAAGAGACUGCCGGUGUCAAACCGGAGGAAGGUGGGGAUGACGUCAAGUCCUCAUGGCCUUUAUGACCAGGGCUACACACGUACUACAAUGGCCGGUGCAAAGGGCAGCGACACAGCGAUGUGAAGCGAAUCCCGAAAAGCCGGUCUCAGUCCGGAUUGGAGUCUGCAACUCGACUCCAUGAAGUUGGAAUCGCUAGUAACCGCGGAUCAGCACGCCGCGGUGAAUACGUUCCCGGGCCUU
rnacentral:rRNA from 1 species